rnacentral:rRNA from 1 species
CAGCGCCACAAGUGGGGAUCCUAUUUAUUUGGCCUAAAGCGUCCGUAGCUGGUUUAGUAAAUCUUUUGUGAAAUCGUUGAGCUCAACUCAACGGCGUGCAGAAGAAACUGCUAAGCUAGGGACCAGGAGGAGUCAGAGGUAUGCUGGGGGGAGCGGUAAAAUGCUAUAAUCCUCAGUAGACCACCUAUGGCGAAGGCAUCUGACUAGAACGGGUCCGACAGUGAGGGACGAAAGCCAGGGGAGCAAACCGGAUUAGAUACCCGAGUAGUCC